rnacentral:rRNA from 1 species
CAGCAGUGGGGAAUAUUGCACAAGUGGGCGCAAGCCUGAUGCAGCCAUGCCGUCGUGUAUGAAGAGGUCCUUCGGGUUGUAAAGUACUUUCAGCAGUGAGGAAGGUGGGUAUGUUAAUAGCAUACUUAAUUUCGACGUUUAGCUGCAGAAGAAGCACCGGCUAACUCCGUGCCAGCAGCCGCGGUAAUACGGAGGGUGCGAGCGUUAAUCGGAAUUACUGGGCGUAAAGCGCAUGCAGGUGGUUUGUUAAGUCAGAUGUGAAAGCCCCGGGGCUCAACCUCGGAAUUGCAUUUUGAAACUGGCAAACUAGAGUACUGUAGAGGGGGUAGAAUUUCAGGUGUAGCGGUGAAAUGCGUAGAGAUCUGAAGGAAUACCGGUGGCGAAGGCGGCCCCCCUGGACAGAUACUGACACUCAGAUGCGAAAGCGUGGGGAGCAAACAGGAUUAGAUCCCCCUGGUAG